rnacentral:tRNA from 1 species
GCCGCGGUGAGGUAAUUGGUAGCCUCCCGGCCUGUGGCCCCGGAAGUCGGGGUUCGAGUCCCCGCCGCGGCC